GCUGUUCUAAGUAGACUGCGAGC
rnacentral:piRNA from 1 species